ensembl:lncRNA
AGCUGUUAAUUGUGCCGGUGCGCUGAGAGCCUAUAUCUGUCAGCUGCAAAAGAGGGUCCCUGAGUAAUUUUGUUUUCGGCUCAUUUCAUUUCAGCUCGUCAGUGGAAACGGAUUUAAUGUUAUCCUUCUGACACGGACCUUGUAACAGACAAACACUAAUGGCAGUAGAACAUGAAGAAGAAAAAACACCACGUUGAGUAAAUAGAUUUCUCUGUGCACCGCAACGGACUGCUAACAUUAUCUAAUCGUCUCUUUUCCUCUCUGUAAUGCAACCCGAGCAACCUUUGCUUUCCAAGCCGUGUUUCAAAUUGACCCUGCGUUAAGACUGAUCUCAGGCUCGGCGUCCAUUGUUUGUUCGCCGAGGCAUCUUCAUGGCAGGUCUGUGCGGCUUUCGUCAUGUCCCUCAGCUUAGCCCAAUUAGCAAGCACCCCUCAUGUUGUCACAUUCUCCUGUAUGAGCUGUCAGACCAGUGAUGAAGGGCUCCUGAACACUAAAACAGACAGAGUGCACCUCCCUCUGUGUUAUUUUGUUACUUCGCUGUCAACUGACUGCAGCUGGUGCUAAGCAAAUCAUCAGUACCCUUCCGAAUGCUGCGAGCUCUCACAGCAAGGAAAAGGUGACUUUGCGGUUUGGCAUGUCUGGUGGAUGGGUUAGAACGGCAGAAGACCACAUCAGGUUCCACUCCUGUCAGCCAAGAACAAGAAUCUGAGGCUAUCAUGGGCGCGGAUUGACUGAAACUGGACCGCUGAAGACUGGAAAAAAGACCAGGGUCACGGGGAACCUGGAGACUAUCCCAGGGAGCAUCGGGGACGAGGCGGGGUACACCCUGGACAGGGUGCCAAUCCACCGCAGGGCACAAUCACACACACACUCACACACCCAUUCAUACACUACGGACACUUUGGACACGCCAAUCAGCCUACCAUGCAUGUCUUAGGACUGGGGAGGAAACCGGAGUACCCGGAGGAAACCCCCGCAGCACGGGGAGAACAUGCAAACUCCGCACACACAGGGCCACGACGGGAAUCGAACCCCCGACCCUGGAGGUGUGAGGCGAACGUGCUAACCAGGAAAUUGUAAGGAAAUUGACUAGUUGGGUUCUUGGGCUGGAGAUCCACCAUUCUCCUUGUUGCCAGUGGUACGGGGCACUGCCUUCAGAGCCAGAGUGGUGGGCCGUGCCGGGCUGAUGGCAGAAAGUGGAGAAGGGCUGGCAGAGGAGUCGGAUGAAGAUGUGAGGUGCUCUAAGACUGGAGUUGGAGGUGGGGGAAGGGGAAGGUCAAGGAUGUCGUGGGGUUCUAAAAGGGGAACAGGGUCUGGAGGAGGCACAUCUUGCAAGUCCAGGUCUGCACUGUUCCUGUCCAUAUGUUCUGUCCAGUCAUGUACUGGUUCUGCCUCUGGCUGGACAAAACCUGGGUCACUUGGAAGUGCUGGGAAUGAUGAUUUGCUACCUGUGAAAAGACAUAAACAGUGUAAAUAAAUGUAGUAAUAAUGGACGCAAACAUAGCUGAACUAGUGAUCAUUCAAGCUGAUGGUGAAUGAUUCGCCAUCAAGUUCCUGAACACAGUAGGUCCAAGUUAACAUUAUUCAUAGACCUACUAGACCUACUUUUCUUUCUUUCUUUUUUAGUUAUUACAAUUUGGAUUAAACCAAAUUCAAGUGUCCAGUCAAACAGGUCAAUUAUGGUAACUCAAUAACACAGUAAAUAGAUUUGACAAUAUUGGGUUGGGAUUUUCACCACUGUAACUAAAAACAAAUAAACAAAAAACAGGGACCUCUGGGCUAUAAUUCAAGGACUCCAGGAGGACCCCAGACUCCUCUUGGAGAACCGCCAUGAAAUAUUCAGUGCUUCAUUUUGAUUGAAAUGAAAAAAAAAAAAAAGGCUUCAGUCCCUAAAUAAAU